rnacentral:rRNA from 1 species
ACGUAGGAGGCGAGCGUUAUCCGGAUUUACUGGGUGUAAAGCGCGCGCAGGCGGUCCCUUAAGUCUGAUGUGAAAGCCCACGGCUCAACCGUGGAGGGUCAUUGGAAACUGGGGGACUUGAGUGCAGAAGAGGAAAGUGGAAUUCCACGUGUAGCGGUGAAAUGCGUAGAGAUGUGGAGGAACACCAGUGGCGAAGGCGACUUUCUGGUCUGUAACUGACGCUGAGGCUCGAAAGCGUGGGGAGCAAACAG